rnacentral:rRNA from 1 species
UAGGGAAUCUUCGGCAAUGGACGAAAGUCUGACCGAGCAACGCCGCGUGAGUGAAGAUGGUUUUCGGAUCGUAAAACUCUGUUGUUAGAGAAGAACAAGGACGUUAGUAACUGAACGUCCCCUGACGGUAUCUAACCAGAAAGCCACGGCUAACUACGUGCCAGCAGCCGCGGUAAUACGUAGGUGGCAAGCGUUGUCCGGAUUUAUUGGGCGUAAAGCGAGCGCAGGCGGUUUCUUAAGUCUGAUGUGAAAGCCCCCGGCUCAACCGGGGAGGGUCAUUGGAAACUGGGAGACUUGAGUGCAGAAGAGGAGAGUGGAAUUCCAUGUGUAGCGGUGAAAGGCGUAGAUAUAUGGGGGAACACCAGUGGCGAAGGCGGCUCUCUGGUCUGUAACUGACGCUGAGGCUCGAAAGCGUGGGGAGCAAACAGG